rnacentral:rRNA from 1 species
AUUGAACGCUGGCGGCAGGCCUAACACAUGCAAGUCGAGCGGCAGCGGGACCUUCGGGUUGCCGGCGAGCGGCGGACGGGUGAGUAAUGCCUAGGAAUCUGCCUGUUAGUGGGGGAUAACGCGGGGAAACUCGCGCUAAUACCGCAUACGUCCUACGGGAGAAAGUGGGGGACCUUCGGGCCUCACGCUAACAGAUGAGCCUAGGUCGGAUUAGCUAGUUGGUGGGGUAACGGCCCACCAAGGCGACGAUCCGUAACUGGUCUGAGAGGAUGAUCAGUCACACUGAAACUGAGACACGGUCCAGACUCCUACGGGAGGCAGCAGUGGGGAAUAUUGGACAAUGGGCGAAAGCCUGAUCCAGCCAUGCCGCGUGUGUGAAGAAGGUCUUCGGAUUGUAAAGCACUUUAAGCCGGGAGGAAGGGCUGUAGGCGAAUACCCUGCAGUCUUGACGUUACCGGCAGAAUAAGCACCGGCUAACUUCGUGCCAGCCGCCGCAGUAAAAC